GACUACCGGGGUAUCUAAUCCUGUUUGCUACCCACGCUUUCGUACCUCAGCGUCAGUUUGAGUCCAGAGAGCCGCCUUCGCCACUGGUGUUCCUUCAGAUCUCUACGCAUUUCACCGCUACACCUGAAAUUCCACUCUCCUCUACUCAACUCUAGUUCCCCAGUAUCAAAUGCAGUUCCCAGGUUAAGCCCAGGGCUUUCACAUCUGACUUAAAAAACCGCCUACGCACGCUUUACGCCCAGUAAUUCCGAUUAACGCUUGCACCCUCCGUAUUACCGCGGCUGCUGGCACGGAGUUAGCCGGUGCUUCUUGUAUGGGUAAUGUCAGUCUACCGGGUAUUAACCGAUAGGUGUUCCUUCCCAUUGAAAGUGCUUUACAACCCUCAGGCCUUCUUCACACACGCGGUAUUGCUGGAUCAGGCUUGCGCCCAUUGUCCAAUAUUCCCCACUGCAGCCCCCCGUAGG
rnacentral:rRNA from 1 species